rnacentral:rRNA from 1 species
GAUGAACGCUAGCGGGAGGCUUAACACAUGCAAGUCGAACGGCAGCACGGGGCAACCUGGUGGCGAGUGGCGAACGGGUGAGUAAUACAUCGGAACGUGCCCAAUCGUGGGGGAUAACGUAGCGAAAGUUACGCUAAUACCGCAUACGAUCUACGGAUGAAAGCGGGGGAUCGCAAGACCUCGCGCGAGUGGAGCGGCCGAUGUCAGAUUAGGUAGUUGGUGGGGUAAAGGCUCACCAAGCCAACGAUCUGUAGCUGGUCUGAGAGGACGACCAGCCACACUGGAACUGAGACACGGUCCAGACUCCUACGGGAGGCAGCAGUGGGGAAUUUUGGACAAUGGGCGCAAGCCUGAUCCAGCCAUUCCGCGUGCAGGAUGAAGGCCUUCGGGUUGUAAACUGCUUUUGUACGGACGAAACGGCGAGCUCUAAUACAGUUUGCUAAUGACGGUACCGUAAGAAUAAGCACCGGCUAACUACGUGCCAGCAGCCGCGGUAAUCAACG